GAAUGCUGACAUAAGUAACGAUAAAGCGGGUGAAAAGCCCGCUCGCCGGAAGACCAAGGGUUCCUGUCCAACGUUAAUCGGGGCAGGGUGAGUCGACCCCUAAGGCGAGGCCGAAAGGCGUAGUCGAUGGGAAACAGGUUAAUAUUCCUGUACUUGGUGUUACUGCGAAGGGGGGACGGAGAAGGCUAUGUUGGCCGGGCGACGGUUGUCCCGGUUUAAGCGUGUAGGCUGGUUUUCCAGGCAAAUCCGGAAAAUCAAGGCUGAGGCGUGAUGACGAGGCACUACGGUGCUGAAGCGACAAAUGCCCUGCUUCCAGGAAAAGCCUCUAAGCAUCAGGUAACAUCAAAUCGUACCCCAAACCGACACAGGUGGUCAGGUAGAGAAUACCAAGGCGCUUGAGAGAACUCGGGUGAAGGAACUAGGCAAAAUGGUGCCGUAACUUCGGGAGAAGGCACGCUGAUAUGUAGGUGAAGCGACUUGCUCGUGGAGCUGAAAUCAGUCGAAGAUACCAGCUGGCUGCAACUGUUUAUUAAAAACACAGCACUGUGCAAACACGAAAGUGGACGUAUACGGUGUGACGCCUGCCCGGUGCCGGAAGGUUAAUUGAUGGGGUUAGCGGUAACGCGAAGCUCUUGAUCGAAGCCCCGGUAAACGGCGGCCGUAACUAUAACGGUCCUAAGGUAGCGAAAUUCCUUGUCGGGUAAGUUCCGACCUGCACGAAUGGCGUAAUGAUGGCCAGGCUGUCUCCACCCGAGACUCAGUGAAAUUGAACUCGCUGUGAAGAUGCAGUGUACCCGCGGCAAGACGGAAAGACCCCGUGAACCUUUACUAUAGCUUGACACUGAACAUUGAGCCUUGAUGUGUAGGAUAGGUGGGAGGCUUUGAAGUGUGGACGCCAGUCUGCAUGGAGCCGACCUUGAAAUACCACCCUUUAAUGUUUGAUGUUCUAACGUGGGCCCCUUACCGGGGUUGCGGACAGUGUCUGGUGGGUAGUUUGACUGGGGCGGUCUCCUCCUAAAGAGUAACGGAGGAGCACGAAGGUUGGCUAAUCCUGGUCGGACAUCAGGAGGUUAGUGCAAUGGCAUAAGCCAGCUUGACUGCGAGCGUGACGGCGCGAGCAGGUGCGAAAGCAGGUCAUAGUGAUCCGGUGGUUCUGAAUGGAAGGGCCAUCGCUCAACGGAUAAAAGGUACUCCGGGGAUAACAGGCUGAUACCGCCCAAGAGUUCAUAUCGACGGCGGUGUUUGGCACCUCGAUGUCGGCUCAUCACAUCCUGGGGCUGAAGUAGGUCCCAAGGGUAUGGCUGUUCGCCAUUUAAAGUGGUACGCGAGCUGGGUUUAGAACGUCGUGAGACAGUUCGGUCCCUAUCUGCCGUGGGCGCUGGAGAACUGAGGGGGGCUGCUCCUAGUACGAGAGGACCGGAGUGGACGCAUCACUGGUGUUCGGGUUGUCAUGCCAAUGGCACUGCCCGGUAGCUAAAUGCGGAAGAGAUAAGUGCUGAAAGCAUCUAAGCACGAAACUUGCCCCGAGAUGAGUUCUCCCUGACUCCUUGAGAGUCCUGAAGGAACGUUGAAGACGACGACGUUGAUAGGC
rnacentral:rRNA from 1 species